CUUUCCCUCUCAUCCAAUGCUUCUCUCUAACAUGAAGAUAGGAAAGGAAACCCUAGCUGAACCUCACCGUCCCUCACCCUCAUCGAUCACCACCGCCCCUCACCCUCUUCUCAUCAAUCACCACCGACGAUUACACCUCCGGAGAGGCCUCUCCGUUUUAGGAUGAAGAUAUCCAUUUUAGUGUUACUUAAGUGUCAUAUGGCAUUGAGUUUGUCAUAUAGAUUCCGUUAAAGACACCGUGUUAAUGACUUGUUUGUUCGCAUAUUUUUCUAUUAUUAUUAGAGUUCGGAGGUAUGAUGAUGAGUACUUUGCUUUAGAAUCACAAAUAGUAGCUAUUAAGCCCUCUAGUGAUAUUUCAAUAUUCAUCGUGAAAGUGGCAAGAAUGUCAUAUGUGAUAAGUUUGCCGAAGAGGGUACAAUUUCAAUAGGUGAAACCUAUCUCCACUAGACAUUCUUGGCACCUUCCACGAUCAAUAUAAAAAUAUCACAAGAUGGCUUAAGGGCUAUUAUUUCUGCUUCCAAAACAAAGUCAUCAUCAUCCCGCCUCCGAACUCUAAUAAUGUUAACUUGUCUUUUAGUAUUAAAAAUAUGAGAACAACUCAUUAACAAGGUAAAGUCCUCUUUCACGGAAUCUAUGGCAAACCCUGAGCCAUAUGGAAGAGAAGUCACAAUCCAUAGGAGAAAGUAGUGGGAUCUCAAGAGGGACAACUUUGCAAUUGUGGUUCCAAUUGCAUUGGCCCGCUGCAAUUGAUCAUACUCCUAAAAGUAAGAGUGUGAAUUGAAAAGUCCUUAAUUAAAAGAGCGAGCAAGAAGAAGAAUGACUUUGCAGCGCAAGGUCCAAAAAGUAAGAGUGUGAAUUGAAAAGACCUUACUCCUAGUUUGUUUCUUAUUUGCAUAAUCUGCUGUUAUAAUUUUAUAUGAUAGACCUACCACUUUUGCUUAUUAGCUGAAACUAUAUUACCACGGUGGAAUCCUUGAGAUUUGAUUUGAGUACAGUUGAAGAAGCCACAAACAAAUUCUCAUAAGCUAAUAAGCUAGGUGAAGGUGGGUUUGGGGAGGUUUACAAGGGCGUGCUUUCGAGUGGACAACUAAUAGCUGUCAAGAGACUCUCCAAACACUCGGGACAAGGCGGAGAACAAUUUAAGAAUGAAGGUGAACUGGUUGCACAAGUUCAACAUAGAAAUUUAGCUAGGCUUCUUGGGUUUUGCAUGGAAAGAGAAGAAAAGAUACUUGUUUAUGAAUUUGUAGCCAACAAAAGUCCUGACUAUAUUCUUUUUGAUCCUAAUAAACAAAGGCUGUUGGAUUGGACAAGGCACUACAAGAUUAUUGGAGGGAUUGCUCGAGGCAUUCAACAUCUUUAUGAAGAUUCAAGGGUUAAAAUUAUUCAUCGUGAUCUCAAAGCUAGCACGUAUUGUUGGAAUCCGAACAUCUCUGAUUUUGGCAUGGCAAAAUUAUUUGGAGUCGAUCAAACUCAAGGCAACGCUUCCUGAAUUAAAAGAUGUUGUUUUUAUGUUUUCUUUGAUCGGUCCAGUGUAUGUUAAAAUCUUGUCAAACUUUGGUGUAGCAGAUACAUUUAGCUAGUUUGUAUAAAUUGUAAAUACUAUGAACUGAUUAUAUAUAACUAUAGUAGAGACUUCAGUGAGAAGUCACUAUCUGAUCACCAAUAAACAAAUGAAGUUCCAAUGCAAGGAAUGUUGGUAACUUUCCAUCAA